CCUACGGGAGGCAGCAGUAGGGAAUCUUUCACAAUGGGCGAAAGCCUGAUGGAGCAACGCCGCGUGCAGGAUGAAGGCCUUCGGGUUGUAAACUGCUUUUAUCAGCGAGAAAUAUGAUGGUAACUUAUGAAUAAGGAUCGGCUCACUACGUGCCAGCAGCCGCGGUCAUACGUGGGAUCCGAGCAUUAUCCGGAGUGACUGGGUGUAAAGAGUUGCGUAGGUGGCAUAAUAAGUAGCUAGGUAAAUCUGGUGGCUCAACCAUUCAGACUAUUAGCUAAACUGUUAAGCUCGAGACCGUUAGGGGUAACUGGAAUUUCUAGUGUAGGAGUGAAAUCCGUAGAUAUUAGAAGGAACACCAAUAGCGUAGGCAGGUUGCUGGGACGGUUCUGACACUAAGGCACGAAAGCGUAGGGAGCAAACGGGAUUAGAUACCCUGGUAGUC
rnacentral:rRNA from 1 species